rnacentral:tRNA from 2 species
GACCCCGUAGCUCAAUUGGAUAGAGCGAAUGGCUUCGAACCAUUAGGUUCCGAGUUCAAGUCUCGGCGGGGUCGCCA